UGUCCUAAGGUAGCAUAAUAAUUUGCCUUAUAAUUUGAGGCUAGAAUGAAUGGUCUGACGAAGGUUAAUCUGUCUCUAUUUUAUUUUUUAGAAGUUAAUUUUUAAAGUGAAAAAGCUUAAAUUUUUUAAAGGGACGAGAAGACCCUAUUGAGCUUGAAUUUUAUAAUAAUUAUGUAUAUUAAUAGCAGUAAUUAUAUAUAAAUUUUAAUUGGGGUGAUUGAGGAAUAAUUUUUAUGAAGUAACUUCCUUAAAAUAAAUAUUGUUAAAUUAAGUACCCGAUUAAUAGUAUAUUGCUUGUAAUAUAGUUACCAUAGGGAUAACAGCGUAAUUUAUUUUGAGAGCUCGUAUUGAAAAAUAAGAUCUGCGACCUCGAUGUUGGACUCUAACGUACACUCAGUGUCGUAGCAGCUUUGGCCUGGCUCAAAUCUGUNCGACUUUCAAAACUUC
rnacentral:rRNA from 1 species